GUAGCCUACUACCAGGAAUAUAACACUGCUGCUGUGACCCAGCAAUUCCCUCAAAAUGCAAUGCAAUGCAAGUGCGCCUACGGGUACCAACCACCCCUGUUCCCCGAACUGGAGAAGGAGUCUUCCUGCCGCUCGGUUCCUGCAAGCCCUGAUCCGGCGUCGUCGACGCACCUGGACCCGGGCUCGCACUGCUUUCUCUAGUGCUGCAGGUCGCCACGCUGCCGACGCCAACAAGCGCCAUUCGCCGGCCCCAGCCUACCGGCCUGGCCAGAAGGUCUAGCCCUCCACCCGAGACCUUCUCCUUAAGCUGGAGAGUCGCAAGCUAGCCCCCAGGUUUAUAGGACCCUUCCCCAUCGCUCGUGUCAUUAACCCGGCGGCGGUACGCCUUCGGCUCCCUAGGGCCUUGAGGAUCCACCCGACGAUCCACGUCUCCCGACUCAAGCCCGUUCAGGAGAGCCCACUUCAGGAGAGCCCACUCCUCCCGUUCCGCCUCCGCCUCCCCCUCAGCUCGUCGACGGCGGCCCGGUAUACACUGUCCUGCGCCUCCUUUGCUCCCGCCGCAUUCGACGUGGGGUUCAGUAUCUGGUGGACUGGGAGGGGUACGGCCCGGAGGAGCGCUCCUGGAGAUGAAGUGAUGAAAGGACAUAUUUUUGGUAGUGUAUGGGGGAGAAAGAUACCAAAGGAGAAAUGUUGCUGUUCUAAGUGAUAAUGUUGAGUGUUGGCAACGGUCAAAUUUGGUCAACAAAGCCAUUGUGACUUUUUUUUAAGUGUAUUAUUCACAUUGACAUUUAGAUAGCCCACAUUCUUCACUCCAGAGGCUUGACAAAGACUUCAUCAAGCCCUGGUGACACAAAAAUAUGUUGUCAAAGUCUACAGGAAGGGAAAUAUAUUGUGUUUGAACGUUCGCAUAUUUCCUGGAACAUGGUUACAUAUUUAUUUGGGUAAGCACUCCCUGCAUGCGGUCGUUUGCCAGAACUCUUUAAGAAAUUUAUCGAGCUCAGUUCUCUGCCUUUGGCUUAGGCUGCAGCUCCCCGGACUGUUGCAUUGUCUAAUUCAUACACAAACACACACAUCCACAUUCAAGCACAUACACUAUGCCUACAAACACACACACACACACACACACACAC
ensembl:lncRNA